rnacentral:misc_RNA from 1 species
UCAUUUUCACAACAUUUUUUGUCUUCUUCUGAUUGUAAUCUUAGUGAAAUAAGAUUCUGUGUGUGAAACUCUAUCUGCUACUGCGCAUCGGAAAAAGUUGACCUAAAAACGAUAUGCACUUUCAACUCAUUCAGGUUAUGAAACAGAAUAAUUUAGCUUUGCAUUGUACCUAGUAUGCAACAAAUUUGAGAUCUGAAAGUCAUGCCGUAUGCGCAUAUAAUGGUUUUAUAUUUUUUAAGUUAGUCCCUGUCACGUCACGUGUCGAACUUCAUCAAAAGGCACGUGCAUAUUACAAACUGUUUCACAACACAAUAUGUUAUAUUAUACUUUAAAUUUUGAAUUUGAGUGCAUAAAAUGAAUUGAAUAAAGUGUGCAAGUUGUACCACCUGUGUGUAAAUAGAACUUUUUUUUACUCUUAGUUAGUUUUAUAUUGUAAAUGUAUUUAAAUAUAUAACUUGUAAAAGAAAUACCCUUCCUACUAUGUAGUUUUGUUUUCUAAAUUAUAUAUUGUAUUGUAGAUUAAAUGUAUCCGACAAUUCUAUGUAACUUAUUUAUAUGAAAAACUGAAAUACAGUAUUAUAUAUGUUCAGGUG